rnacentral:lncRNA from 1 species
AUGCCAUCUGCUAGGAAUUCCCUUCUGUUCUCUUCUAUUCCAUUCCCUUCUAUUCCAUUCUAUUCCAUUUCCUUCUAUUCCAUUCUAUUCCAUUUCCUUCUAUUCCAUUCUAUUCUAUUCCCUUCCAUUCCAUUCUUUUCCAUUCCAUUCUAUUCCAUUCCAUUAUUUUCCAUUCCAUUCUAUUCUAUUCCAUUCCAUCUCUCUUCUAUUCCAUUCCCUUCUGUUCCCUUCUAUUAUAUUCCAUUCCCUUCUUUUACAUUCCAGUCUUUUCCAUUCCAUUCCCUUCCAUUAUAUUCUAUUCCAUCUCUCUUCUAUUCUAUUCCCUUCUAUUUUAUUCCAUUCCCUUCUAUUUUAUUCAAUUUCCUUCUAUUCCAUUCCCUUCUAUUCCAUUCCAUUCCAAUCUAUUCUAUUCUAUUCUAUUCCAUUCUAUUAUAUUCUAUUCUAUUCCCUUCUAUUCUAUUCUAUUCUAUUCUAUUCCCUUCUAUUCCAUUCCAUUCUAUUCUAUUCUAUUCCCUUCUAUUCUAUUCCCUUCUAUUCUAUUCCAUUCCAUCUCCCUUCUCCUCUCACAGUAUGUUUUCAUACCCCUCUGGUCCAGGUCUGCAGAGGGAUCAUCUAGGAUGGCCUCUGCUCCUCGAUCCACCAUCUCCACGCGUCAAGAUACAGUCCCACCCUCUCCUUCACUGGCCAAUCCUGCAGCUUGCUGUCCACCUACAACUGCCACAAACAACCAAUCAGCAACUACUCUGUCGCCAAGCAACAACCAGUCAACACUGGGUAAGAAAACAUUGACCCACCUGUCUUACCAUACCAGAUGAAAUACUUCACCAUAUCUUCACUUCAUAACACAUUCAUAACCUAUGGAUAAUCAGUGAGUAAGCAUUUCAUAAAUGCUUAAGUGACAUUACUGUGACACAGCAAAUAUAUCAACUUGUGUUUUUUGCUAUAAGCAUUAAUGGUACCUGUCGCCAUUAAAUGGUACCUGUCUCCGUUUAAUGGUACCUGUCUACGUUAAUGGUACCUGUCUCCAUUAAUGGUACCUGUCUCCAUUUAAUGGUACCUGUCUACGUUAAUGGUACCUGUCUACGUUAAUGGUACCUGUCUCUGUUAAUGGUACCUGUCUCCAUUAAUGGUACCUGUCUCCGUUAAUGGUACCCGUCUCCAUUAAUGGUACCUGUCUCCGUUAAUGGUACCUGUCUCCGUUAAUGGUACCUGUCUCCAUUUAAUGGUACCUGUCUCCGUUUAAUGGUACCUGUCUCCAUUUAAUGGUACCUGUCUCUGUUAAUGGUACCUGUCUCUGUUAAUGGUACCUGUCUCUGUUAAUGGUACCUGUCUCCAUUAAUGGUACCUGUCUCCGUUAAUGGUACCUGUCUCCAUUUAAUGGUACCUGUCUCCGUUUAAUGGUACCUGUCUCCAUUUAAUGGUACCUGUCUACGUUAAUGGUACCUGUCUCCGUUUAAUGGUACCUGUCUCCGUUUAAUGGUACCUGUCUCCAUUUAAUGGUACCUGUCUCCGUUUAAUGGUACCUGUCUCCAUUUAAUGGUACCUGUCUCCGUUAAUGGUACCUGUCUCCGUUUAAUGGUACCUGUCUCCGUUAAUGGUACCUGUCUACGUUAAUGGUACCUGUCUCCGUUAAUGGUACCUGUCUACGUUAAUGGUACCUGUCUACGUUAAUGGUACCUGUCUCCGUUUAAUGGUACCUGUCUCCGUUUAAUGGUACCUGUCUCCAUUUAAUGGUACCUGUCUCCGUUUAAUGGUACCUGUCUCCAUUUAAUGGUACCUGUCUCCGUUAAUGGUACCUGUCUCCGUUUAAUGGUACCUGUCUCCGUUAAUGGUACCUGUCUACGUUAAUGGUACCUGUCUCCGUUAAUGGUACCUGUCUACGUUAAUGGUACCUGUCUACGUUAAUGGUACCUGUCUCCGUUUAAUGGUACCUGUUUCCGUUAAUGGUACCUGUCUCCAUUUAAUGGUACCUGUCUCCGUUUAAUGGUACCUGUCUCCGUUAAUGGUACCUGUCUACGUUAAUGGUACCUGUCUACGUUAAUGGUACCUGUCUCCGUUUAAUGGUACCUGUCUCCGUUUAAUGGUACCUGUCUCCAUUUAAUGGUACCUGUCUACGUUAAUGGUACCUGUCUCCGUUUAAUGGUACCUGUCUACGUUAAUGGUACCUGUCUACGUUAAUGGUACCUGUCUCCGUUUAAUGGUACCUGUCUCCAUUUAAUGGUACCUGUCUCCGUUAAUGGUACCUGUCUCCGUUUAAUGGUACUUGUCUACGUUAAUGGUACCUGUCUCCGUUUAAUGGUACCUGUCUCCGUUAAUGGUACCUGUCUACGUUAAUGGUACCUGUCUCCGUUUAAUGGUACCUGUCUCCGUUUAAUGGUACCUGUCUCCAUUUAAUGGUACCUGUCUACGUUAAUGGUACCUGUCUCCGUUUAAUGGUACCUGUCUCCGUUUAAUGGUACCUGUCUCCAUUAAUGGUACCGGUCUCCAUUAAUGGUACCUGUCUAUGUUAAUGGUACCUGUCUAUGUUAAUGGUACCUGUCUCCGUUAAUGGUACCUGUCUCCGUUUAAUGGUACCUGUCUCCAUUAAUGGUACCUGUCUAUGUUAAUGGUACCUGUCUAUGUUAAUGGUACCUGUCUCCGUUUAAUGGUACCUGUCUCCGUUUAAUGGUACCUGUCUCCAUUAAUGGUACCGGUCUCCAUUAAUGGUACCGGUCUCCAUUAAUGGUACCUGUCUAUGUUAAUGGUACCUGUCUAUGUUAAUGGUACCUGUCUACGUUAAUGGUACCUGUCUCCGUUUAAUGGUACCUGUCUCCGUUAAUGGUACCUGUCUCCGUUAAUGGUACCUGUCUCCAUUAAUGGUACCUGUCUAUGUUAAUGGUACCUGUCUCCAUUAAAUGGUACCGGUCUCCAUUAAUGGUACCGGUCUCCAUUAAUGGUACCUGUCUAUGUUAAUGGUACCUGUCUAUGUUAAUGGUACCUGUCUACGUUAAUGGUACCUGUCUCCGUUUAAUGGUACCUGUCUCCGUUAAUGGUACCUGUCUCCAUUAAUGGUACCUGUCUAUGUUAAUGGUACCUGUCUCCAUUAAAUGGUACCGGUCUCCAUUAAUGGUACCGGUCUCCAUUAAUGGUACCUGUCUAUGUUAAUGGUACCUGUCUAUGUUAAUGGUACCGGUCUCCAUUAAAUUGUACCUGUCUACGUUAAUGGUACCUGUCUUUGUUAAUGGUACCUGUCUCCGUUAAUGGUACCUGUCUCCAUCCUCUCUCUUGUAGAAGUGAGUAGUCCAGUCCCUACACUGCGCAGCAUCAACAAGAAGGCCAAGUCCAGGCCUAUGGACAAGGACGGACGCUACCGGAACCGUCUAAGCCACACCUCCGCCCCCAUAUACCUGUCCAAGGCUAAGAAACCUGCCCCUGCACAGGACCUGGGGGGUGUAGGGGGAGUGGGGGGGGUCAACAACCGGCUGCCUGGACCGGGUGGGCCUGAAGACCAGCAGACACUGCCCCUGCCUCAGAGACAACGCAGGGACAACACACACAUCAGCACGGAGGAGGAAACAGGAGGAAGAUCAUCCCCUUCCAUUAUAGAUCUGCACAUCCUGGAGACAAACCAACACAUCUCAUCACACAACUGUCCCCAUCCUGACAGCUGCAGGUGGGUCUGCUUCUGUGGUUCUCUACACAGCUGGGGGUCUGCUUCUGUGGUUCUCUACACAGCUGGGGGUCUGCUUCUGUGGUUCUCUACACAGCUGUGGGUCUGCCUGUGUGGUUCUCUACACAGCUGUGAGUCUGCUUCUGUGGUUCUCUACGCAGCUGUGGGUCUGCCUGUGUGGUUCUCUACACAGCUGUGGGUCUGCUUCUGUGGUUCUCUACACAGCUGUGGGUCUGUGUGGUUCUCUUAAGACUGUAUUGGUAAAGUGUAGUUCAACUGUAAUUCAAUACAUGACACUAUGUGGAAUACAUGACCCUUUGUGGAAUACAUGACACUAUGUGGAAUACAUGACACUAUGUGGAAUACAUGACCCUAUGUGGAAUACAUGACCCUAUGUGGAAUACAUGACACUAUGUGGAAUACAUGACCCUAUGUGGAAUACAUGACCCUAUGUGGAAUACAUGACACUAUGUGGAAUACAUGACCCUUUGUGGAAUACAUGACCCUAUGUGGAAUACAUGACCCUAUGUGGAAUACAUGACCCUAUGUGGAAUACAUGACACUAUGUGGAAUACAUGACCCUAUGUGGAAUACAUGACCCUAUGUGGAAUACAUGACACUAUGUGGAAUACAUGACCCUUUGUGGAAUACAUGACCCUAUGUGGAAUACAUGACACUAUGUGGAAUACAUGACCCUAUGUGGAAUACAUGACACUAUGUGGAAUACAUGACACUAUGUGGAAUACAUGACCCUAUGUGGAAUACAUGACCCUAUGUGGAAUACAUGACCCUAUGUGGAAUACAUGACCCUAUGUGGAAUACAUGACCCUAUGUAGAAUACAUGACACUAUGUGGAAUACAUGACACUAUGUGGAAUACAUGACACUAUGUGGAAAUUGUGUGACUGCAUUGUAUAAUGAUUUUCGGUUUUGUCAACAGCUAUUCAGUAUCACUCCAAGGAACCAGGAACUCCUCCAUGUCACAAAUCACUCUACACAUGAGGUGAGUACAGACGGCCUGCUCCACACAUUAACCUGAACCAACACGGCCUGCUCCACACAUUCACCUGAACCAACACGGCCUGCUCCACACAUUAACCUGGACCAACACGGCCUGCUCCACACAUUCACCUGGACCAACA